AAGUGUCCAAUCAGUAUCAUUCGACCUAUUACAAUUCGUGAUGGUCUUGCUGUUUAAUAAAAAUAACAUGUAAUUUUGGAGAUUAUGCACACGGCAGAUAGCUACAACACAAAUCCGUUGGUUAAAUAUAAAUCAAAAUUCAAUGAAGACAGCAAAUGCUAGCUUAGACAGAAUUCCGUCUGAACGAGGCACUGCAUGGAACAGUAAAUUUCUAAUCAGCGCAGAGAAAUACAAAAAGUUUUUGGAUUUGUUUCCUGUGGUCGUGAACGACGUAACGAAUAACACUACAGACCCACAAUUUGCUGAAGCAAAUACACACUGAAAACGAACUUCUUCAUUAUCUCGCCCCCUUUGGUAAAAAAUUGAGGGGUUUCAUUACAUUCAUAGCUUACGAAGCUCUUGAAAAACCAGAGAAUGUUACACGGGGAAAUCGCAGAUUAGCAAUGCUCAUGGUUUGGGCUUUGGAAAUUAUGCAGUCAGCUUCUCUUAUAGCUGACGACAUCAUUGACGAAGGGGUAAUGCUCUCUGCUGGCAC